UUAAUGAGAGUUUGAUCCUGGCUCAGGACGAACGCUGGCGGCGUGCCUAAUACAUGCAAGUAGAACGCUGAAGAGAGGAGCUUGCUCUUCUUGGAUGAGUUGCGAACGGGUGAGUAACGCGUAGGUAACCUGCCUUGUAGCGGGGGAUAACUAUUGGAAACGAUAGCUAAUACCGCAUAACAAUGGAUGACACAUGUCAUUUAUUUGAAAGGGGCAAUUGCUCCACUACAAGAUGGACCUGCGUUGUAUUAGCUAGUAGGUGAGGUAAUGGCUCACCUAGGCGACGAUACAUAGCCGACCUGAGAGGGUGAUCGGCCACACUGGGACUGAGACACGGCCCAGACUCCUACGGGAGGCAGCAGUAGGGAAUCUUCGGCAAUGGGGGCAACCCUGACCGAGCAACGCCGCGUGAGUGAAGAAGG
rnacentral:rRNA from 1 species